GCCUCGGUGGUGCAGUCGUAGUAGCAUGUGCUCCCGGUAUGGAUGAAACGCGGGUUCGAUUCCCACGUGAGGCC